rnacentral:rRNA from 1 species
CAUUCGAGUGGCGGACGGGUGAGUAACGCGUGGGUAACCUGCCUUACACAGGGGGAUAACACCUGGAAACAGGUGCUAAUACCGCAUAAGCGCACAGGGCCGCAUGGCCCGGUGUGAAAAACUCCGGUGGUGUAAGAUGGACCCGCGUCUGAUUAGCUUGUUGGCGGGGUAGGGGCCCACCAAGGCGACGAUCAGUAGCCGGCCUGAGAGGGUGGACGGCCACAUUGGGACUGAGGCACGGCCCAAACUCCUACGGAAGGCAGCAG